rnacentral:rRNA from 1 species
UACGUAGGGGGCAAGCGUUGUCCGGAUUUAUUGGGCGUAAAGAGCGUGUAGGCGGCCAGACAGGUCCGUUGUGAAAACUCGAGGCUCAACCUCGAGACGUCGAUGGAAACCGUCUGGCUAGAGUCCGGAAGAGGAGAGUGGAAUUUCUGGUGUAGCGGUGAAAUGCGCAGAUAUCAGGAAGAACACCUAUGGCGAAGGCAGCUCUCUGGGACGGUACUGACGCUGAGACGCGAAAGCGUGGGGAGCGAACAGG